rnacentral:rRNA from 1 species
UACGUGGGGUGCGAGCGUUAAUCGGAAUUACUGGGCGUAAAGCGUGCGCAGGCGGUUUUGUAAGCCAGAUGUGAAAUCCCCGGGCUUAACCUGGGAAUGGCAUUUGGGACUGCAAGGCUGGAGUAUGGCAGAGGGGACUAGAAUUCCUGGUGUAGCAGUGAAAUGCGUAGAUAUCAGGAGGAAUACCGAUGGCGAAGGCAGGUCCCUGGGCCAAUACUGACGCUCAUGCACGAAAGCGUGGGGAGCAAACAGG